rnacentral:rRNA from 1 species
CCUACGGGAGGCAGCAGUGGGGAAUAUUGGGCAAUGGGCGCAAGCCUGACCCAGCAACGCCGCGUGAAGGAAGAAGGCUUUCGGGUUGUAAACUUCUUUUCUGAGGGACGAAGAGAGUGACGGUACCUCAGGAAUAAGCCACGGCUAACUACGUGGCAGCAGCCGCGGUAAUACGUAGGUGGCAAGCGUUAUCCGGAUUUAUUGGGUGUAAAGGGCGUGUAGGCGGGAAAGCAAGUCAGAUGUGAAAGCUCAGGGCUCAACCCGGGGCCUGCAUUCGAAACUGGUUUUCUUGAGUGUUGGAGAGGCAAGCGGAAUUCCGUGUGUAGCGGUGAAAUGCGUAGAUAUACGGAGGAACACCAGUGGCGAAGGCGGAUUGCUGGACAGUAACUGACGCUGAGGCGCGAAAGCGUGGGGAGCAAACAGGAUUAGAUACCCCAGUAGUC